rnacentral:rRNA from 1 species
GACGAACUCUGGCGGCGUGCCUAACACAUGCAAGUCGAACGGAGAAUUUUAUUUCGGUAGAAUUCUUAGUGGCGAACGGGUGAGUAACGCGUAGGCAACCUGCCCUUUAGACGGGGACAACAUUCCGAAAGGAGUGCUAAUACCGGAUGUGAUCAUCGUGCCGCAUGGCAGGAUGAAGAAAGAUGGCCUCUACAAGUAAGCUAUCGCUAAAGGAUGGGCCUGCGUCUGAUUAGCUAGUUGGUAGUGUAACGGACUACCAAGGCGAUGAUCAGUAGCCGGUCUGAGAGGAUGAACGGCCACAUUGGGACUGAGACACGGCCCAAACUCCUACGGGAGGCAGCAGUGGGGAAUCUUCCGCAAUGGACGAAAGUCUGACGGAGCAACGCCGCGUGAGUGAUGAAGGAUUUCGGUCUGUAAAGCUCUGUUGUUUAUGACGAACGUGCAGUGUGUGAACAAUGCAUUGCAAUGACGGUAGUAAACGAGGAAGCCACGGCUAACUACGUGCCAGCAGCCGCGGUAAUACGUAGGUGGCGAGCGUUGUCCGGAAUUAUUGGGCGUAAAGAGCAUGUAGGCGGCUUAAUAAGUCGAGCGUGAAAAUGCGGGGCUCAACCCCGUAUGGCGCUGGAAACUGUUAGGCUUGAGUGCAGGAGAGGAAAGGGGAAUUCCCAGUGUAGCGGUGAAAUGCGUAGAUAUUGGGAGGAACACCAGUGGCGAAGGCGCCUUUCUGGACUGUGUCUGACGCUGAGAUGCGAAAGCCAGGGUAGCGAACGGGAUUAGAUACCCCGGUAGUCCUGGCCGUAAA